AUAAAUAUAUUGAUUGAAAUAAAUGUCAAUCAAUAAAUAAAAGCGCUUUGCCUUAUAUUUACUUAUUUCAUUGUCAGCGCCAACUUGCAAGUGGAAAUGUAAUUCAAAUGAGGGGGCGUUCCUAAGGGUGCCAUGGGUUGAACUAUUCGCUUAUUGGUUGAUCGACAUUCGAUUUCUGAAAUCUACUAGCCAUGCCUGCCACAGAUGACAGAACGACCUCCGUGAAGUUGGCCCCCCAUCAGAUGCAAAUUUAUAUAAAAAUUAUGUCAAUCGUUUGUGCUAUGAUUGUGCUGGUUUGUGCUGCAAAAAGUUUCGUUUGUGCCAUCGAGGUGACAGACCGUGGGUCUGAAAGUCACCCCAAGACUCUUCUCGAAAGUCAGGGAAACAGCCGACCUAGUUUAGUAGUCCUACUUGGUGAGAAGUGAGAGAAUAUGCAUUAUCCACCGUCGAAUGUCAAAACAUGGUAUAAGAGUCUCUGACUUGAAUAAUUCCACUGACAUCGCAACGUUGGAUGCUCGGUGAUUACAGGGAUCCCAGGAUCUCAUCCAAAUUCUGGGUUCAGACUGAUGCAAGGACGUCUCAGGUUCCGACGUACAAAGGUUCAGAGACUUCGUGUGCAAGAAUCCAUGCCACGUCUGGAUCCACCGGGAAUUGUCCGCACACUACAACUACAAACUGUUCGGCGUAGAUGAUAUUCUGUGCCAGCCCCCAACAGUCAAAGGGAUAGCUAUGGCAACCAUAAAGUCAUAAAUUAAAGCUCUAUAUUGGGGGACUCGGAAGGAAGUACAAAAAUAAAUUAAGACCAUAUUUUUUUCACCCAUUUUGGAACGAUAAACCCAUAUACAGUAUAAUAUAGACCAUUUUAAAUUAAGUUUAAAUAUUUCAUGCUUUUAUUAUUUAUUACGCGCUAGGAAUCUUAAUUCAUUUAGAUUUGGAAUGCUUCCGCUGCCAGCCUCUCCCAGUCAAAAAUUGAUUGGAUGUCAAGCACUGUCAAUGGCAGCCAAUGAGUUAAAUGUUGAUGUUUAUGGCUUGCAAAAAUAAGAAACCCUAAAAUUUUAUGUCUCACAAUUAGGAAAAAAAAAAAUCUGGGCCCUGCAACACAUUGUCUGUUAUUGCAGAAAUGUUGGUAUAGUUUUAGUUGCCACUUCUGGGAUAUGAUUGGAUGAAAUUUUACCCAUCAAAAUCAAAUUAUGAGGUGUGGCACGCCCUCUUUGCUUGUUGGCUCUUUGAAAAUGGCUUAACAAGUUCAACUUCAAAAGGGAUAAUGUAAAGUGCACAUUUCUAAUCAAAAACAUAACAUAAAAAAAAAUAAAUAAAUAAAAGCAUGAAAUAUACCUGACCAAAAAAGUUAAAUAAAAUUAUAUAAAUGCGAACACUUUCACAGUCUAGGGCUAGGCACAUACAGAUGAGGCUAAUCAAUAAAUAAAUUUGCCAUAUACGAUGUGUGCAUGUUUAGUUAUAUUUUAGGACUAGUUGGUUCAACUUUAAAUUACAUAUUUGGAGUUUUAUGUGAUGGUCCACAUGGUCAUCACCCCCAUGUCGGUGUCAGUCCCUGAAGUGCAGCUGCGACAGGCCUGGACUCCUGAAGAAAUUCAGCAGAUGUCAGAAUUUUCUAAUGUAUUGAAUGUCUACAGCGAGACAAUCCAUCCUGCGUCAAAUAUUUACACUUGUUUUAAAUGACUGCAUAGCAUGUUGGUUGUGGUUGAUGUGACAGUACCUCAGUAAUGUGAAGAAAUAAUAAAGGCAAUGAUUGUUUUUCUGCAAA